rnacentral:rRNA from 1 species
UACGAAGGGGGCUAGCGUUGCUCGGAAUGACUGGGCGUAAAGGGCGCGUAGGCGGUUUGUUCAGUCAGGUGUGAAAUUCCCGGGCUCAACCUGGGGGCUGCACUUGAUACGUAGGAACUGGAGUGGGGAAGAGGGUCGUGGAAUUCCCAGUGUAGAGGUGAAAUUCGUAGAUAUUGGGAAGAACACCGGUGGCGAAGGCGGCGACCUGGUCCUUGACUGACGCUGAGGCGCGAAAGCGUGGGUAGCAAACAGG